GCCGGAUAAACCUCUCGACCUUCCUAUAUUCUCUCUAGUUGCCGGUCGAAAGAUGAUUGGUGGAAGUGACUUCGGCGGUAUAAAAGAGACGCAAGAAAUGCUGGACUUCUGUGGGAAGCAUGGCAUAACAGCUGACAUUGAACUGAUUCGUGCGGAAGAAAAUAACCAAUGGCACCCUAAUUUUUUUCUAUUUCCUUGUCAGUGGUUUGCCAUUUUGAUCCUAAGUGUAUGUUCUCUUCUGUAGGGGAUUAUUGAUCUAGCUUUUUCAAAGCCUCGUUCACCAAUGGCACCCUGCUUCUGCCUUCAGCUUCCUGUUGGAUACCAGCAAAAAUCAAGCCCGCUUGUUUCAAAUGGCAGCUUGCCACCUCCUUCAAAGUUGGGCCGGGGAAAAUUCACGACUGCAGCAAUGCUUCUAGACAUAGUCAAAGAUGUUGAACUUGCUAUAUCUUGCCGCAAGGGACGAACAGGCACUGAAGCAGGCGAUGUUUAUGCAGAUUGCUCAUUAUAGAGCUUCUAAUGGCGGUGUUGUGACAGCUGAAGAACUUGCUCCAUAUCUUGAUGUGGAGACUACUGUAAAAAUGCUACUAUUUGAACUUCACUUGCAAUGAGUUUGUUUAGAAAGUCUUGCUUUUGUUUUGUUGGAUUUUAAGGAAUGUAAAAGUGUUUUAUUAUUUAUUAA